UGUGUCUGUGUGUGUGUGUGUGUGUGUUGCAGGUUUCCAGCGUCUUCUGCAGAGCGUCUGCGGGUGCAUCAGAGCGCCGUGAACUACCUUGGCCUCGCCUGCUACACUAAAGGAGCACUGAGCAGCAUGUUCUAUCUGGCACACGAGUUCCAUGACGACCUGGUCGGAGGAAUCCUGACCAACACCAACUGUGGAGGAGAGAACUGUAACCGUGGCGCGGCGCUCGGCGCGCUGCUGCUCGGCGCCAGC